rnacentral:misc_RNA from 1 species
UGGCUCUCGCAUCGAUGAAGAACGCAGCGAAAUGCGAUAAGUAAUGUGAAUUGCAGAAUUCAGUGAAUCAUCGAAUCUUUGAACGCAAAUUGCGCCCUUUGGUAUUCCGAAGGGCAUGCCUGUUUGAGUGUCAUAUAGACCUUCACCCGACCGGUUUUUCUUGACCGGGUCGUCGGUGCUUUGGACGCCUGCCAGCAGCUUGGUCUCUGGCUCGUCUUAAAUGUAUUAGUGGAUCCAGCAGCGUGAUAAGUUUACGUUCCGACGUCCACUCUAAUCUUGACAAGCUCUUGACCUCAAAUCAGGUAGGACUACCCGCUGA